GACUUCCUAGUGCUUACCACAGGCUGUGUCUUUAUACCAGUUGUAUAGAAAGAGAAGGCACAGUAAAUGUACCCUAUAUAAUACACCUCAGCCCAGGCCUUUUGUUUGGUCUGUAUUGUUAAGGGGGUGAGGGGG